rnacentral:rRNA from 1 species
AGGAUGAACGCUAGCUACAGGCUUAACACAUGCAAGUCGAGGGGCAGCAUGGUCUUAGCUUGCUAAGGCCGAUGGCGACCGGCGCACGGGUGAGUAACGCGUAUCCAACCUGCCUUACACUCUUGGACAGCCUUCUGAAAGGGAGAUUAAUACAAGAUGUUAUCAUGAGUAAGCAUUUUCGCAUGAUUAAAGGUUUACCGGUGUAAGAUGGGGAUGCGUUCCAUUAGAUAGUAGGCGGGGUAACGGCCCACCUAGUCUUCGAUGGAUAGGGGUUCUGAGAGGAAGGUCCCCCACAUUGGAACUGAGACACGGUCCAAACUCCUACGGGAGGCAGCAGUGAGGAAUAUUGGUCAAUGGACGAGAGUCUGAACCAGCCAAGUAGCGUGAAGGAUGAAGGUUCUAUGGAUUGUAAACUUCUUUUAUACGGGAAUAAACGAAUCCACGUGUGGAUUUUUGCAUGUACCGUAUGAAUAAGGAUCGGCUAACUCCGUGCCAGCAGCCGCGGUAAUACGGAGGAUCCGAGCGUUAUCCGGAUUUAUUGGGUUUAAAGGGAGCGUAGAUGGGUUGUUAAGUCAGUUGUGAAAGUUUGCGGCUCAACCGUAAAAUUGCAAUUGAUACUGGCAGUCUUGAGUACAGUUGAGGUAGGCGGAAUUCGUGGUGUAGCGGUGAAAUGCUUAGAUAUCACGAAGAACUCCGAUUGCGAAGGCAGCUUACUAACCUGUAACUGACAUUGAUGCUCGAAAGUGUGGGUAUCAAACAGGAUUAGAUACCCUGGUAGUCCACACGGUAAACGAUGAAUACUCGCUGUAGGCGAUAUACAGUCUGCGGCCAAGCGAAAGCAUUAAGUAUUCCACUUGGGGAGUACGGCGGCAACGGUGAAACUCAAAGGAAUUGACGGGGGCCCGCACAAGCGGAGGAACAUGUGGUUUAAUUCGAUGAUACGCGAGGAACCUUACCCGGGCUUAAAUUGCAACCGAAUAUGGCGGAAACGCUAUAGCUAGCAAUAGCGGUUGUGAAGGUGCUGCAUGGUUGUUGUCAGCUCGUGCCGUGAGGUGUCGGCUUAAGUGCCAUAACGAGCGCAACCCUUGCCGAUAGUUACUAACAGGUCAUGCUGAGGACUCUGUCGGGACUGCCAUCGUAAGAUGUGAGGAAGGUGGGGAUGACGUCAAAUCAGCACGGCCCUUACGUCCGGGGCUACACACGUGUUACAAUGGGGGGUACAGAGGGCUGGUACCACGCAAGUGGAUGCCAAUCCCAAAAACCUCUCUCAGUUCGGAUUGAAGUCUGCAACCCGACUUCAUGAAGCUGGAUUCGCUAGUAAUCGCGCAUCAGCCACGGCGCGGUGAAUACGUUCCCGGGCCUUGUACACACCGCCCGUCAAGCCAUGGGAGCCGGGGGUACGUGAAGUGCGUAACCGCAAGGAGCGCCCUAGGGUA